GUCAGGAUGGCUGAGUGGUCAAAGGUGCUGCACUCAGGUUGCAGUCUCCCUGGGAGAUGUGGGUUCAAGUCUCACUCCUGACA
rnacentral:tRNA from 1 species